rnacentral:rRNA from 1 species
UGGGGAAUUUUGGACAAUGGGGGAAACCCUGAUCCAGCCAUCCCGCGUGUGCGAUGAAGGCCUUCGGGUUGUAAAGCACUUUUGGCAGGAAAGAAACGUCAUGGGUUAAUACCCCGUGAAACUGACGGUACCUGCAGAAUAAGCACCGGCUAACUACGUGCCAGCAGCCGCGGUAAUACGUAGGGUGCAAGCGUUAAUCGGAAUUACUGGGCGUAAAGCGUGCGCAGGCGGUUCGGAAAGAAAGAGGUGAAAUCCCAGAGCUCAACUUUGGAACUGCAUUUUUAACUACCGGGCUAGAGUGUGUCAGAGGGAGGUGGAAUUCAGCGUGUGGCAGUGAAAUGCGUAGAUAUGCGGAGGAACACCGAUGGCGAAGGCAGCCUCCUGGGAUAACACUGACGCUCAUGCACGAAAGCGUGGGGAGCAAACAGG